rnacentral:rRNA from 1 species
AUACGUAGGGAGCGAGCGUUGUCCGGAAUUACUGGGUGUAAAGGGAGCGUAGGCGGGACUGCAAGUCAGAUGUGAAAUACCGGGGCUUAACCCCGGAGCUGCAUUUGCAACUGUGGUUCUUGAGUGAAGUAGAGGCAAGCGGAAUUCCUGGUGUAGCGGUGAAAUGCGUAGAUAUCAGGAGGAACACCGGUGGCGAAGGCGGCUUGCUGGGCUUUUACUGACGCUGAGGCUCGAAAGCGUGGGUAGCAAACAGGAUUAGAUACCCUGGUAGUCCACGCUGUAAACGAUGAUUACUAGGUGUGGGGGGACUGACCCCUUCCGUGCCGCAGUUAACACAAUAAGUAAUCCACCUGGGGAGUACGGCCGCAAGGUUGAAACUCAAAGGAAUUGACGGGG